rnacentral:rRNA from 1 species
CAGCCGCCGCGGUAAAACAGAGGGUGCGAGCGUUAAUCGGAUUUACUGGGCGUAAAGCGUGCGUAGGCGGCUUUUUAAGUCGGAUGUGAAAUCCCUGAGCUUAACUUGGGAACUGCAUUUGAAACUGGCAAGCUAGAGUCUUGUAGAGGGGGGUAGAAUUCCAGGUGUAGCGGUGAAAUGCGUAGAGAUCUGGAGGAAUACCGGUGGCGAAGGCGGCCCCCUGGACAAAGACUGACGCUCAGGUGCGAAAGCGUGGGGAGCAAACAGGAUUAGAUACCCCAGUAGUCCCUGUCUCUUAUAC